rnacentral:rRNA from 1 species
CCUACGGGAGGCAGCAGUGAGGAAUAUUGGUCAAUGGCCGCAGGGCUGAACCAGCCAAGUCGCGUGAAGGAUGACGGUCCUAUGGAUUGUAACCUUCUUUUGUUAGGGAGCAAAGGGAGGCACGUGUGCCGCUUUUUGUGUAUCUGAAGAAAAAGAAUCGGCUAACUCUGUGUCAGCAGAGGCGGUAAAACGGAGGAUUCCAGCGUUAUCCGGAUUUAUUGGGUUUAUAGGGUGCGUAGGCGGUCGUAUAAGUUAGAGGUGAAAGCCCGCGGCUCAACGUCGGAAUUGCCUUUGAUACUGUACGGCUAGAGUGUAGUGACGGAAGCCGGAAUGUAUGGUGUAGCGGUGAAAUGCUUAGAGAUCAUGCAGAACACCGAUUGCGAAGGCAGGUGACCAAGGUACUACUGACGUUGAGGCACGAAAGCGUGGGGAGCAAACAGGAUUAGAUACCCCUGUAGUC